ACUCCUACGGGAGGCAGCAGUGGGGAAUCUUGGACAAUGGGCGCAAGCCUGAUCCAGCCAUGCCGCGUGAGUGAAGAAGGCCCUAGGGUCGUAAAACUCUUUCGCCAGGGAUGAUAAUGACAGUACCUGGUAAAGAAACCCCGGCUAACUCCGUGCCAGCAGCCGCGGUAAUACGGAGGGGUUAGCGUUGUUCGGAAUUACUGGGGCGUAAAGCGUACGUAGGCGGAUUAGUCAGUCAGAGGUGAAAUCCCAGGGCUCAACCCUGGAACUGCCUUUGAUACUGCUAGUCUUGAGUUCGAGAGAGGUGAGUGGAAUUCCAAGUGUAGAGGUGAAAUUCGUAGAUAUUUGGAGGAACACCAGUGGCGAAGGCGGCUCACUGGCUCGAUACUGACGCUGAGGUACGAAAGUGUGGGGAGCAAACAGGAUUAGAUACCCUGGUAGCGACUGA
rnacentral:rRNA from 1 species